rnacentral:rRNA from 1 species
CCUACGGGAGGCAGCAGUGGGGAAUUUUGGACAAUGGGCGCAAGCCUGAUCCAGCAAUGCCGCGUGAGUGAAGAAGGCCUUCGGGUUGUAAAGCUCUUUUGUCAGGGAAGAAACGGUGGGAGCUAAUAUCUCCUGCUAAUGACGGUACCUGAAGAAUAAGCACCGGCUAACUACGUGCCAGCAGCCGCGGUAAUACGUAGGGUGCAAGCGUUAAUCGGAAUUACUGGGCGUAAAGCGUGCGCAGGCGGUUUUGUAAGACUGUCGUGAAAUCCCCGGGCUCAACCUGGGAAUGGCGAUGGUGACUGCAAGGCUAGAGUUUGGCAGAGGGGGGUAGAAUUCCACGUGUAGCAGUGAAAUGCGUAGAUAUGUGGAGGAACACCGAUGGCGAAGGCAGCCCCCUGGGUCAAAACUGACGCUCAUGCACGAAAGCGUGGGGAGCAAACAGGAUUAGAUACCCUGGUAGUCCACGCCCUAAACGAUGUCUACUAGUUGUCGGGUCUUAAUUGAUUGUACGCAGCUACGCGUGAGUAGACCGCCGUCGGGAGGUACGGUCGCGAGAGUAAACGUUAACUAAGAGUAGUAACGUACGUGAGACGUGACCGACGGACGACGACGAGGGAGGUUAGG